rnacentral:rRNA from 1 species
UUUUGAGAUUGUGCUUACUGCACUUUUCUUAUCUACACACGUGUUUUUGUUUUAUUCUUAAAACUUGCUUUGGCAGUGGCUGCUUAAUUGCUCUGCUGCCAGAGGAUAAACUCAACCUAAAUUUUUUAUUUUAAACUAGUCAACUGAUUAUAUUUAUUAAUAGUCAAAACUUUCAACAACGGAUCUCUUGGUUCUCGCAUCGAUGAAGAACGCAGCGAAAUGCGAUAAGUAAUAUGAAUUGCAGAUAUUCGUGAAUCAUCGAAUCUUUGAACGCACAUUGCGCCCUCUGGUAUUCCGGAGGGCAUGCCUGUUUGAGCGUCAUUUCUCCCUCAAACCCCCGGGUUUGGUGAUGAGCAAUACGCCAGGUUUGCUUGAAAGUUAGGAGGAGUAUUUAUAACAAUGUAUUAGGUCUAACCACUCCAUUGUGCUUAAUAAAAGCUCCAAUCUAUAUUUCAAACUUCGACCUCAAAUCAGGUAGGAUUACCCGCUGAACUUAAGCAUAUCAAUAAGGCGGAGGAA